GACGAAUGCUGGCGGCGUGCCUAAUACAUGCAAGUUGAGCGCUGAAGGUUGGUACUUGUACCAACUGGAUGAGCAGCGAACGGGUGAGUAACGCGUGGGGAAUCUGCCUUUGAGCGGGGGACAACAUUUGGAAACGAAUGCUAAUACCGCAUAAAAACUUUAAACACAAGUUUUAAGUUUGAAAGAUGCAAUUGCAUCACUCAAAGAUGAUCCCGCGUUGUAUUAGCUAGUUGGUGAGGUAAAGGCUCACCAAGGCGAUGAUACAUAGCCGACCUGAGAGGGUGAUCGGCCACAUUGGGACUGAGACACGGCCCAAACUCCUACGGGAGGCAGCAGUAGGGAAUCUUAGGCAAUGGACGAAAGUCUGACCGAGCAACGCCGCGUGAGUGAAGAAGGUUUUCGGAUCGUAAAGCUCUGUUGGUAGAGAAGAACGUUGGUGAGAGUGGAAAGCUCAUCAAGUGACGGUAACUACCCAGAAAGGGACGGCUAACUACGUG
rnacentral:rRNA from 1 species